AUCCGGCCGACGAGUUUCAAAUAUGACGAAACGCACGUCUUGUAU
rnacentral:hammerhead_ribozyme from 1 species